UACAGAGGUCCCGAGCGUUGUUCGGAUUCACUGGGCGUAAAGGGUGCGUAGGUGGCUUUGCAAGUCUGAUGUGAAAUCUCCGGGCUUAACUCCGAAACUGCCUUUAAGACUGCAUCGCUAGAACGAUGGAGAGGUAAGUGGAAUUCCGAGUGUAGAGGUGAAAUUCGUAGAUAUUCGGAAGAACACCAGUGGCGAAGGCGACUUACUGGACAUCUGUUGACGCUGAGGUGCGAAAGCGUGGGGAGCAAACAGG
rnacentral:rRNA from 1 species